AACGCACAUUGCGCCCUUUGGUAUUCCGAGGGGCAUGCCUGUUCGAGCGUCAUUUCAACCCUCAAGCUCUGCUUGGUAUUGGGCCCUGCUGCGAUGGCAGGCCUUAAAAUCAGUGGCGGUGCCGUCUUGGCUCCAAGCGUAGUACAUCUCUCGCUCUGGAGGCCGGGUGGUGUCCUGCCAGAUAACCCCCAUUAUCUUUCUACGGUUGACCUCGGAUCAGGUAGGGAUACCCGCUGAACUUAA
rnacentral:misc_RNA from 2 species